ensembl:lncRNA
CUUCCCUUCUUUAUCUAUGCCGGCCAAUAUAAAUGUGUGCUGGUAUCCAUGGAGAGCUCGUCAUUGUCAUUGGUCACUGGUCAUUAUUUUGUCAAGAGCCCUAGUUACCCUUAGUAACCAUCUGGGUGACAGAGGAGUCUGACUAACAAACUAAAGGGAAGACAUUGUGUGCAUCUCAUUCACUGGAAGAUGAAUCCUGUUUCUAAGUUUGAAAUCUGUCACUUUUCAAGCUGAACUGACUUUAAAGCAUGCGUCGUGGAGACUGGUUGCCAUGGCCCGGCGAGGCUCAGAGACGAGAUGAGAGGAGGGCCGAAGCCAGACUGGCUGAGGGUCUGCAGAGACUCGACCAGGCUAAACAUUACCACCUCAACACACUGACCAGAGAACAGCGCAGACUUCACAGAGACCUCAUCUCUAUCAAAACAGGUAAUCCCUGGAAAAGAGGACUCCACAGUUUGGGGCUACGACCCUCUAACCAUGAUGUUGGUGGUCGCCCUGCUGCAUCUCACAAGAGGACCCUGUUACCCAUCAUCCCAAUGGCAGGAAAGGAAACAGACAGUCACAGGUCCUCUUCACUGCAGGCUCGUGUUCAGGAGUUUAUGAACAGUUGGGAGAAAAGGGCAGAACACUCCUCUGAGACGCUCUGUCUGCCAGACCUAAAACGACAGCCUGUCACCUCUCUCACCGCUACGAGCACAAACAGAGAAAGAGAGGUGAGCAAGGAGAGAGAUAUGGAUGGAGAACAGGACAGAGACAGAGGGGCCCACAUGGACAUAGUGAGGGACAGAGAAAAAGACAGCCAGAAAGACAGGGAAUGGAUGCUGUUAAAGGAACGAGAGAAAGCUAAUGAAAGAGGAGCUGAGAUACAUGGGAAUAGGUGUCCAUCCUCUCCUGUCUCAUUCCCCUCUGAAAUGCUGGCUCCGGAUGGACAUUUAAGAACAGUUCACACGUUACCAAACUUUGCCCAGGCACUGGCCGAGGCCCGAAAAGCAAGAUACAUCAGACACCGAGGACAACUGCUGUGUGAGCGAGAACUCACCAUACGAGAGAAAUUUGCCCGGGAUUCAAGAGCUCCUGCUCAUUGAGACACUAAAACAGUGGUUCUUGACUGGUUGUAAUUACCAUGUUGUAAUUACCGUAAUUACUUGAUGACAGCCUGUCCUGGAUGUUCUACUAGAAGCUGUUCACAUCCUCUGAGUUCACCAAAAAAUGCAAAUUCUGUCAUUAAUUACUCACCCUCAUGUCGUUCCAAAUCUGUAAGACCUUCUUUCAUCUUCCGACCAGAAAUUAAGAUAUUUUGGAUGAAAUCCGAGAGCUUUCUGACCCUGCAUAUACACCAACACAACUACCAUGUUCAAGGCCCAGAAAAGUAGUAAAAACAUUGUUAAAAUAGUCCAUGUGACAUUAGUGGUUCAAUCGCUAUUUUAUGAAGCUAGAGAAUACUUUUUGUGUGUAAAGAAAACAAGAAUAAAGACUAUAUUUAACAAUUUCUUCUUCUGUGU